rnacentral:rRNA from 1 species
UACGUAGGGAGCAAGCGUUGUCCGGAAUCAUUGGGCGUAAAGCGCGCGUAGGCGGCCCGAUAAGUCCGCUGUGAAAGUCAACGGCUCAACUGUUGGAUGCCGGUGGAUACUGUCGGGCUAGAGUACGGAAGAGGCAAGUGGAAUUCCUGGUGUAGCGGUGGAGUGCGCAGAUAUCAGGAGGAACACCUAUAGCGAAGGCAGCUUGCUGGGACGGUACUGACGCUGAGGCGCGAAAGCGUGGGGAGCAAACAGG